GCACGUGUGAGUGCAGUGGUUAGCACUGCUGCCUUACAGCAAGAAGGUUGUGGGUUUGAAUCUUGCCUGGGGCC